AUUCAGCUGACGAAUCCCAAAUAAGACUAAACGCGCGUCCUGGAU
rfam:Schistosoma mansoni strain Puerto Rico chromosome 1, complete genome